AAAGCAGUGUUUCUCAACUGGUGGGUCGCAGGUCUAUUCGGACUGGGUCACGUACAGCAGGGAAAGAACAAUGCCAUGGUUCUCCCAUUGAAGAUAUUUCGGUGGCCGCCCAAGUGAUAGCCUAUUUAGGACUGCCGAGGCAGAUUUAAUGAUAAUCUCGCAAUCAGCUAAAGGCUUCUCAUCUGCACUUUCGCACGAGUAACGGAACCAGCUCGCACUAAUGAUCUGCUCUGCUCUCUGACACGCGCAUGCAACAACCGGGCUUCCCUCAAUAUUGCGGAGCGCAGACCUCAAAACUGAUGUGACCAACUUCAAUUCUAGUGAGACGUUUCUAGUUUAAAGCAUUACGGAGGAAGUCAAGUCAAACCCAUCAAACAGCAGGCAGCCCUGACAUGCCAAACAGCACUGAGGAGGAAGAGCAACACUGUGCUAUGCGGUUACACGGCCCGGAUCACAACCUGCUUUUGUCACGGACUGACCGUAGUGCUGAAAGGACUGACCAUAGUGCAGAAUUCGUGAGUCAGAGGGACACAAUUUUGAUCCAGGCUGAUAUGAUGUGCAUUUCAGAAGAAGAUCUAUGAGCACUCUACAGGCAAAUGCAUUUCACAGGAAGAAAUCACUGCAUUUGCACAAGUUUUGUAAGUACUAUUGGGUCCAAACUGUGGUAUGUUUGCAUCAUCAACAACACAAGUACCGCCAGUAGCUUUUUACUACUGUAUCAAGGUAACAACUCAGAAUGAUAAGCUUCCCUGAUAUAUUCAUGUUUCUAUCCCUUUGGAUUUGUCACCAAAACUUUACACGCACUGAACAGCCACUGAAUUUCUCUUCCACAGGUCCAUUGCAAGAGAUGCGAAGAAUGAGAACUAUUCUCCAAAGCCAAUUUAUUCGGAGACAAGCUGCUAUGAGAAAUGAAGUUUAAUGCAAUAAGGGUGAGAGGGAGCAUGCAAAGAUGCAAAUAUACUUAAUCAACACUGGUUCACAUAUCUGUGAUUUAGAACGAUUUAGGGCAUAGUAACUACAAAUUAAACCAGAAUUCACAAGAACUGACUGCAGACCAGUGUUUCCUAACCUGUUUUGCCAUUAAGAACCCCCACAGCACCAUCAGUAAGGCUCAAGUACCCCUUCAUCAACACAAAACCAAAGAUGUGUUCCAAACACCAAAUAUUAGGGCAAGCUCUCGAUUCACUUCGAUUCCAAUUUCGAUUCGAUUUGAUUCAAUAUCAGUUCAUGUGGAUAUAUUUCAGUUAUAAUGUUCCUUUUGCUUACAUAUGAAAGAAAAUCUCUCCCAGCUAAUGAUGUUAAUUAUCCAGGCGUCCUUCUUACUAGGUACAUUAUGAAAAUAUUAAUUUGACUAAUUAUACUUUUAGUUUUUCAUCAUUUUGGUCACAUUUUGGCUUUUAAAAAAUUAACAAAUCCAUAUAUUCAAUAAAUUAGAUAUUAUAUUUCAUAUCUUAAUUUUUGUUACACGUUUAUUGUUUAAUUGCAUAAUUUGUACAGUUUACAACUGUUUACAUUGAUUUGUUGGACACAUGCUUAAAAUAUUUCAUAUAUUAUUUUUGUUACAUGUUUAUUGAUUAAUUGCUUAAUUUGUACUAUUUACAAGUAUUUACAUUGACUAAAAAAAGUAAAGCUCCUAUCUACUUGAAUAUGGAAAGAAAUCUCCAAAACAGAUGGUCAAGAUUAUGAUUAAAGAACAUAUUUAAAAUCACCAGUAAAUCUGACAACAAUAGUAUCAUAAAUUGUGCUUCUUUUGCUCAGAUCACGCUAAAUAAAUCUGCCAUUUUUUUAAGCUGAUUCAACUAAUGCGCAUGAGUGUUCUUGAGUUAACUGCAGGCGAUGUCUGUAUCUAAAAGGUGAUAGUUUAUAAAUAUUUAUUUUUUGUUGUUUUUUUUCAACAACUGACUGUAAAGAACAGAAAGGGUAUUAAAAGAGACAUUAUUAAAUGACAUGGUUGUGUGGAUGUCAUCUUUGGACACACAUUAUAUGGAACAACUUUUAACUCUCAACACGCAGUGAAAGGAUCUCACUACUGAACAUUGUACCACUAGACUACACAAUUACUGUGGCCUGUACCAUGAAGCUGGUUUCGGUGACUAGCCAGGUAAGUUUUAGUUUGGUUUGCCUCAACCCCAGGUUUUAGGCACCACGAAAGUUGGUCGGCUUUUAGCAGUGUUUAUCGCCAUUGCAAUUUACGCUACACGGCUAACUUGCUCUGUAGCAGGUUUCGUUCUGGAUUACAGAUGGCUAACAGAUGCUGAACCAAUCAUCUGUGAGUAAAAUUACAUCUCUGACACAAUCAAGUCACUCUCCUUUGUCUCUUAAAGCACACUUUACAAAUAAACUCUUAGAAAUCCACAAAAUCAACUCUUCAUGAUAAAUUAUUAUAUGAGAAUCUAAAUGUAGAUUUCCAGCAGAUAGAGUGUUGUAUUUUAUUGAAAAAUUUAUUGCUUUUCAUUUACCCUCUUUAGCCAUAACAAAAAUAUUUUUGAAAAUAUAAACGUAAUAUAUUAGGCUAUCUAUAAAACAUCCAAUAAGAUGGAUUAAUAUGACACCUGCAAAAAUUAAUCAUGUUUAAAAUAU